ensembl:lncRNA
GUCAUGUGUAAGCAUGACAUGGCUCAUGGCUGUGCAGUUGGAUUCAGGGAGCAUCUCGGAGCUGGGCAUGUGGCCGGGGCUUUGCUGGGAUGGGGAGCCUGGGCCGUUGUUCCCCUGCAUUUGCAUGUGGUGGCUGAAAGCAGAAGUGCUGAAUUCAUGCUGAUUCAAACUCUCCAACCCUGUCUGCAUGUGGUACAGCUUUCAAAUGCAACAGAAAAGAAACUUCCAGGGCUUAUUCUUGGACACAUGUUUGUGCAGGGUGUGUGUAGGAGAAAAGGAAGGCGAGUAAGUACAAACAGAGAAAGGUGAGGAGGAGGGGAAAUGUUUCACAAGCCAUUUAGCCAUUUCCUCUCCAUCCCCCACAGUUUCUUUUCUUCUUUUUAUGUCCCUCACAAUUUAAGAAAUCUCAUUAUCGUAAUAGGUUGGGUCUGAGCCAAGAAAGGGGGCCUUAGAGAAAAACAAGUGUGCUGUUUGGAAAGAUCAGGUCUUUCCUGUUAACAUGAUCACGCACAUUUCUUGAACUAGUAAAAUCUCAGUUCUUCAGUUUUAAAAUCUAUUUUGCAUCGCAUGCCUUAAAAACAGGAAGUCAAGAAGUCGUGUAAGUACGGACAUCAGAACUAGACAGACCAUGAUGAAACUUGUGUGCCCUGCAGAGCAGGGUGACACUCAGCAUGCCUGGUGCUUUCUGGUGACACUAGGAGCCAACCCCUCACCAAGAAAAGAGGGGACGUCAGCACAGUUUCCCUUUGAGCAAUGCCAGAGCACUACUUGCCAUGAAUCACGGCAAUAAUGCAAACAAUUGUGGGUGCAGCAUAGGGACUGGUUGCGAUCUGGGCUGUGCUGGGGACACAGGGGACACUGUCACCCUGAGGACACAACACUGCCAACUGGAUGAAGCCGUCACCUCGGUGUGUUUCCUCCCACACCCAGGCAGGUUUUGUAGACCAUGUCAUGGUGAUUUAAGUAAGGUUUCUCAUGCGUUUGAAAGGAACCUGCCAGGUGAAAAUGACUGCAGCUCAAUGCACUGGUCACAGAGAAACUACUCAACUCUUCUCAGAGUCCCCCUCCCUGCUGCUGCAGUCACCAAGUGGGUGGAAAACGUCCUCAGAGACUUGUCCUGGGGUUGAUGGAAGAAGCUGUUAAAAGUGUGAAGAUCAGAAGCCAGUCUGGGAUGGUUCCUCUGGCCCAACAAAUCUCCAUCAAAACCAGCCAGUGAACUACUUGGCUUUUUCUUUCUUUUUCCUUUUCAGUUUUCCCAACACUCUGAAUCAAGGGUGGGCUGUACUGUCCUACAUUUGUUUCCCUGUCUCAUUUCAGGCUCCUGGGUUUGAAGGAACAGUGUUCCCACAAAAAGUCUGCAGAGGCCAGUGUUUGUUUUUCUAAAUGGUGACUGCUGAAACCUACUACGUUCUUGGCACCGCCUGAUGCGUAAAGUCAACACUAAAGUUCCUGUUGGCUAAAGUCCCUGUCUCAGAGACUGCUCUUUGCCCAUUUAUACCUCCAGUCCGAGUGAGGAGCCCCCGAGAAGCAGUCUGUGGUGGGCCCAUAAGGCACUCUGGGGACUGGGAAGCGUUCAGGCAGUGUUUGGAGGAAAGCAAAGGGAGGCCAUUGGGUAAGCCUUGGUGCCCCAGUGCUGUGAGAAGCCAAGAGUGGUGGCAGUAGAAGAUGUGGGGUUUUCAGCCUGUUGAGGUGCUUGUUUCUCAGAGUUCUUUGGAAGGAGGGGCACCUUGCUGUCAAAAUGUCAGCAGAACACCUGCUGAUAGGGCAGAGAGCAUGGGAUUACAAAAUUAACACAUUGUGCUGCCAGUGAUGGCUUUGCAGGAGAAUCAGCUGAGUCCUAACAGGGAAGUGAUGAAAGAGCAAUGACAAUCAAGCAGGAAAGAAGGACAAUGAGGGAGGCAGACAGAUGGGAAAUCUCCUUGCUUGGACAAAAAUACCAGUGUCAUUGCUCUCUCUUAUCCCAGCUGCAAA